GUCAGGCACGGUGGCUCAUGCCUGUAAUCCCAGCAGCUCAGGAGGCUGAGGCAGGAAGAUUUUGAGUUCAAAGCCAGCCUCAGAAAAAGUGAGGUGCUAAGCAACUCAGUGAGAUCCUGUCUCUA
rnacentral:sRNA from 1 species